CAUAUUGCUACCCUUAGCUAUAUUAUGGUGUCUAAGAUUAUGGAACAAAGUUUAUGGUGUCUGAGAUUCUUUAUACUCCUUGAAAGACUUAUUCUAUUUUUCUGGACUAUGCUGGACUAUUGAACUAUUUUGUUUUUAUUUUUGUAGAGUUAGCCAGAGAGAGCGGAAGUGUUGGCUUAUUCAGGCAUGGAUGUACUAUGUGUGUCAUUGAUGUAUGUUGAGUGUACCAAGGAUGGAUUCCCAUUUAUUAAGUGUGGAUAUGACUGGACCGUCAAAAAUAGGGAUGUGAUUAGAAGACAUAGGACGCAAGGUCAUGAUUGGGAUUAUUGUUAGAAUUGCAAACUGAUUAUAAGUUAUCUCAUGAUUUAAUAUGUAACUGGAGCAAGCUAUUCAAGCCUGGAUAUUUCAGAAAUGAAAGUGUUACUGCUGUGGUUCAAUGUAAAUCAAAUUAACUUACUUUAUAUAUGACCAGUUGUCAUGCAAGCCCUGUUGAGGUUGGAUGUUUGUCAAUCACAUUUUUUUUUCUUUGUAACUAAAAUCAUGACUUUGUGAUGUGUUAAUGUACAUUUCAAAAUGUAGUUUUAUUUCUUAUGCAGUAUGAAAGGUCUUCUUCUCCUAGUGUAUCCUUCAAGUAGAGUUGAGUUAAUACCCAUGAAGUGAGAAGAGAUUUUUUUUAUUUUACCACUACUCUAAUACAAUCCACAUAGAAGAACAUACAUUGGUUGCUUAAAAUGCUGGAAACUAAGGCUAAAAUGAUAGAUGUUUACAAGUAUAAAAAACAGGGCUUAAAAUUCAAAGAAGAUUCUAGGUAUUAACAGCUGUUAAAUGUGUAGGGUUUACCUUUAAGUACUAAACGCCACAAUUUUUUUUCAAGAGGCUGGUUACCCUCUCCAUAUACAUAGGUUUCAAAAUAUACAAUUUAAUGGAAUAACUGGAGUAUAUGUAGCCUAUUUUUAUUCAGUAAUAAAUGCAUUUUUUAUAAUAAAUAAUUGAUCAAAUGAAUAUUUAUGGAGGCGGGGCCUGACAACUGACCGAGGUAGACGUGUGCUGCUGGAGAUCCUCCAUGGAAAUCUGAAUUUAUUUCCUUUAACUUGAAAUUUUGCCAAAUUUAAGCAUGUAACUGGCUACAUAC